UACGGAGGGUGCGAGCGUUGUCCGGAAUCAUUGGGCGUAAAGGGCGCGUAGGUGGCCCGGUCAGUCCGUGGUGAAAGCGCGGGGCUCAACCCCGCGUCGGCCAUGGAUACUGCUGGGCUCGAGCACUGUAGAGGCAGGCGGAAUUCCGGGUGUAGCGGUGGAAUGCGUAGAGAUCCGGAAGAACACCGGUGGCGAAGGCGGCCUGCUGGGCAGUAGCUGACACUGAGGCGCGACAGCGUGGGGAGCAAACAGG
rnacentral:rRNA from 1 species